rnacentral:rRNA from 1 species
GCAGAACGCGAAGAACCUUACCUGGGCUUGACAUGGUAGUCGUAGACUUGUGAAAGCUUGUCGUCACUUCGGGUGGACUAUCACAGGUGCUGCAUGGCUGUCGUCAGCUCGUGUCGUGAGAUGUUGGGUUAAGUCCCGUAACGAGCGCAACCCCUAUGAACUGUUGCCAGCGGGUAAUGCCGGGGACUCUGUUCAGACCGCCCAGAUUAACUGGGAGGAAGGAGGGGAUGACGUCAAGUCAGUAUGGCCCUUACGCCCAGGGCUGCACACGUGCUACAAUGUCCAGUACAAUGUGAACCAAUACCGUGAGGUGGAGGAAAUCGUCAAAACUGGGCUCAGUUCGGAUUGUAGGCUGCAACUCGCCUACAUGAAGUUGGAAUCGCUAGUAAUGCUGCAUCAGCUACGGCAGCGUGAAUACGUUCCCGGGUCUUGUACACACCG